rnacentral:rRNA from 1 species
CCUACGGGAGGCAGCAGUGAGGAAUAUUGGUCAAUGGACGAGAGUCUGAACCAGCCAAGUAGCGUGAAGGAUGACUGCCCUAUGGGUUGUAAACUUCUUUUAUAUGGGAAUAAAAUGUUCCACGUGUGGGAUUUUGUAUGUACCAUAUGAAUAAGGAUCGGCUAACUCCGUGCCAGCAGCCGCGGUAAUACGGAGGAUCCGAGCGUUAUCCGGAUUUAUUGGGUUUAAAGGGAGCGUAGGUGGAUUGUUAAGGCAGUUGUGAAAGUUUGCGGCUCAACCGUAAAAUUGCAGUUGAAACUGGCAGUCUUGAGUACAGUAGAGGUGGGCGGAAGUCGUGGUGUAGCGGUGAAAUGCUUAGAUAUCACGAAGAACUCCGAUUGCGAAGGCAGUUCACUGGACUGCAACUGACACUGAGGCUCGAAAGUGUGGGUAUCAAACAGGAUUAGAUACCCGAGUAGUC